rnacentral:rRNA from 1 species
GAGUUUGAUCAUGGCUCAGGAUGAACGCUAGCGGCAGGCUUAAUACAUGCAAGUCGAGGGGCAGCAGGAGUAGCAAUACUUGCUGGCGACCGGCAAACGGGUGCGGAACACGUACAGAACCUUCCUUCGAGCGGGGCAUAGCCCGGAGAAAUCCGGAUUAAUACCCCAUAGUAAAUUGGAGAGGCAUCUCUUUUAUUUAAAGAUUUAUCACUUGAAGAUGGCUGUGCGCCUGAUUAGGUAGUUGGCGGGGUAAUGGCCCACCAAGCCUUCGAUCAGUAACUGGCGUGAGAGCGCGACCAGUCACACGGGCACUGAGACACGGGCCCGACUCCUACGGGAGGCAGCAGUAAGGAAUAUUGGUCAAUGGACGCAAGUCUGAACCAGCCAUGCCGCGUGGAGGAUGAAGGCCCUCUGGGUUGUAAACUUCUUUUAUUGGGACGAAAAAGAUCAUUCUUGAUCGUCUGACGGUACCAGAUGAAUAAGCA